AUACGGAGGGUGCAAGCGUUGUUCGGAAUCACUGGGCGUAAAGGGCGCGCAGGCGGUUUGAUUAGUCAGAUGUGAAAGCCCACGGCUUAACCGUGGAAGUGCAUUUGAAACUGUCAGACUUGAGUACCAGAGGGGGUAGUGGAAUUCACGGUGUAGAGGUGAAAUUCGUAGAUAUCGGGAGGAAUACCGGUGGCGAAGGCGACUACCUGGCUGGAUACUGACGCUGAGGCGCGAAAGCGUGGGGAGCAAACAGGAUUAGAAACCCCGGUAGUCC
rnacentral:rRNA from 1 species